GUCCAUGUAGCUCAGGGGUAGAGCGGUGCUCUCCUAAAGCACAGGCCGAGGGUUCAAUCCCCUUCAUGGAUA